rnacentral:rRNA from 1 species
CAAAAACAUCGCCUUUUGAAUAUUAUAAAAGGUAACGCCUGCCCAGUGACAUAAGUUCAACGGCCGCGGUAUUCUGACCGUGCGAAGGUAGCGUAAUCAUUUGUCUUUUAAAUAAAGACUUGUAUGAAUGGCAUCACGAGGACUUAACUGUCUCCCUAAUUUAAUCAGUGAAACUGAUCUUCCUGUGAAAAAGCAGGAAUUUUCUCAUAAGACGAGAAGACCCUAUGGAGCUUAAAACUAAAAACUAACUGUAUAAUCUGCCAAAUUAAAUGACACUAACAUACAGGUUUAGCCUAAGUUUUUUGUUGGGGCGACUAUGGAGAAAACUCUAUCCUCCAUGAAAAUAUACUUUGAGUUACCACUCUUGGUAUUAGCAAGCCUAAAUUUAAUUGAUCCAAUCUUUGAUCAACGGACCAAGUUACCCUAGGGAUAACAGCGCAAUCCAUUUCAAGAGUCCCUAUCGACAAAUGGGUUUACGACCUCGAUGUUGGAUUAGGACAUCCUAGUGGUGUAGCCGCUACUAAUGGUUCGUUUGUUCAACGAUUAAAGUCCUACGUGA